UUUUGAACUUGUAUACAUACCUAUAUAUAUACACCAGGCUUGCCUAUUAACUUUAAAGAUUUGUUUUUGUUUUUUUUUCCAUGCUUACAAUUUUUUUUCUACAUAAAUGCUUUUAGCCAGACCGAUAUGCUUGUGUUUGCACAGUUCUGCCCUUUACCAGCGAAGCCUGGUAGACCUGACCUUGUUUUAUGUCUUCUCCAGCUCUUCGUGCUGCCAGCUGACCUGGGUUUCCAGUGAGCCUGCAUUCCCUUGGGACUACCCGGAGGCUCGCCACCCUUUCCAGGGCAUCUGGGAUGCCAUUUGCUGGUGAUGUUGGCUGGCACCAUCAGCAGAAUCGUACCAUCCAACUGCCUGGUACCCAGCACGGCAGAGAUGCUUCUGCUGCCCUGCCACUGCAGGGGAUGCAAAUCUUUCUGUAUCGGGGAGAGUCUGUGUGCUGCUGCUGAAGAGCAGCUCCAUCGUAAAACAUCAACAAACACAGCCCCAGAAGUUUGGAAGAUCCCGUGUUUGAACUGUGCUCCCUGAAAUGAGAUCAAAAGUAGCCGUCAGAUCCUCUCCUCUGAAGAGAGCAUCAUUGAAGAACAGCUUGAGAUAAGCAGGGUGAACCAAAAGAACAUAGAGAGAUCCCGAUGGCUGUCAGAUCAAGCAGUAGCAGCUGGCCUAGAAAAGAAACCAGUCUGCCUUCCAGCCACAGCCGCUUACCAUGGCUGACACGGCGAGCCUUGGAACACAGUGACCUCCGUAGACGGCAGCCAGCAGCACAAAGCUGGUUGGACCUGCAGGGAUAUAGCACAAUGAAGAGGGCUGGCACUUCGGAUUGCAACAUUACUGAAACGAAAAGCGUGAACGCUACAGGAAUUUCUGCUCUAUGGAAAAAUGUUAUUUUUGGAUUCUUCAGGAAGGCGUGCAUAUAAAACCACCGGUUCCCUGAGCAAAAGAACUGGAACCA